rnacentral:rRNA from 1 species
AUGCAUGUCUAAGUAUAAGCAAUUGUACAGCGAAACUGCGAAUGGCUCAUUAUAUAAGUUAUCGUUUAUUUGAUAGUGCCUUACUACUUGGAUAACCGUGGUAAUUCUAGAGCUAAUACAUGCUAAAAAUCCCGACUCCGGAAGGGAUGUAUUUAUUAGAUUAAAAACCAAUGCCCUCUGGGCUCCUUGGUGAUUCAUGAUAACUCUUCGAAUCGCACGGCCUUGCGCCGGCGAUGGUUCAUUCAAAUUUCUUCCCUAUCAACUUUCGAUGUUUGGGUAUUGGCCAAACAUGGUCGCAACGGGUAACGGAGGGUUAGGGCUCGACCCCGGAGAAGGAGCCUGAGAAACGGCUACUACAUCCAAGGAAGGCAGCAGGCGCGCAAAUUACCCAAUCCCGAUUCGGGGAGGUAGUGACAAUAAAUACUGAUACAGGGCUCUUUUGGGUCUUGUAAUUGGAAUGAGUACAAUUUAAAUCCCUUAACGAGGAACAAUUGGAGGGCAAGUCUGGUGCCAGCAGCCGCGGUAAUUCCAGCUCCAAUAGCGUAUAUUAAAGUUGUUGUGGUUAAAAAGCUCGUAGUUGAACCUUGGGCCUGGCUGGCCGGUCCGCCUCACCGCGUGCACUGGUCCGGCCGGGCCUUUCCCUCUGUGGAACCCCAUGCUCUUCACUGGGCGUGGCGGGGAAACAGGACUUUUACUUUGAAAAAAUUAGAGUGCUCCAGGCAGGCCUAUGCUCGAAUACAUUAGCAUGGAAUAAUGAAAUAGGACGCGCGGUUCUAUUUUGUUGGUUUCUAGGACCGCCGUAAUGAUUAAUAGGGACAGUCGGGGGCAUCAGUAUUCAAUUGUCAGAGGUGAAAUUCUUGGAUCUAUUGAAGACUAACUACUGCGAAAGCAUUUGCCAAGGAUGUUUUCAUUAAUCAGGAACGAAAGUUAGGGGAUCGAAGACGAUCAGAUACCGUCGUAGUCUUAACCAUAAACUAUGCCGACUAGGGAUCGGACGAUGUUAUUUUUUGACGCGUUCGGCACCUUGCGAGAAAUCAAAGUGCUUGGGCUCCAGGGGGAGUAUGGUCGCAAGGCUGAAACUUAAAGAAAUUGACGGAAGGGCACCACCAGGGGUAAACCGCUUCAUGCAGCCGCAGUAGCUCUGCUCCAGAAAGCAGCCCGAAAGGGUCAGUGGUGUUCCUGUCCGCGCUCCGGCGCGGCGAACCAAGUGCUAGUCUCCCCUGGAGGCGACACCCUCAAAUUGCGGGAAACUCCUAAAGCCAGUGUCACCAAGCCGGCGUCGAAAGGGCGCCGGUGGCCGGGGUAACGACCUAGGGUACGGUAAAAGCACACUGGAUAGCGCAAUGGACGAUCCGCAGCCAAGCCUCGUCGCCGCAGGGCACGGGGAAGGUCCAGAGACUUGAUGGGGGUGGGUGAGGAUUCGGGGCGUCGAGAUCGAACCCUGGCAUUCAAGCUUAAGAUAAAGUCCGUCUGUGCGUGAAAGCGCACAGGUGCUACCGAAAAACGGGAGCCUGCGGCUUAAUUUGACUCAACACGGGGAAACUCACCAGGUCCAGACACAAUGAGGAUUGACAGAUUGAGAGCUCUUUCUUGAUUUUGUGGGUGGUGGUGCAUGGCCGUUCUUAGUUGGUGGAGUGAUUUGUCUGCUUAAUUGCGAUAACGAACGAGACCUUAACCUGCUAAAUAGCCCGUACUGCUCAGGCAGUACGCCGGCUUCUUAGAGGGACUAUCGGCUCAAGCCGAUGGAAGUUUGAGGCAAUAACAGGUUGACCUACACAGGCCUGUCACAGUAGUCCUCGUUAAAAUAUCUGCUAGUCCAUGUAGCGUCUCUGCGGGGAAGCCCCCUACUAUCGGGCAGAGGGGACCCGAGAGGGUCCCAGUUACGGGCAACACCACCUGGUACAGGGGACGCCGACCCAGGCACGUCGGAGACGAUGUCCUGGAGGCCAAUCCUGUGGCGAGCUCGGGUCGCGCCGAGCCGUCGCAACGUGCGGAAAGGGGUGGGCUGGCAUUCCAUGCCGGCUUAAGGUACGUACUAAUCCCAUGGGAAACCAUGCCCGUGCAGCGAGGCCCGAUAGGCUAACCUGCACGGGAGCCGACCGGACCUGGCGUCCAUCUCGGCUGGGUCCUCCUGCGGCGGCACCUGUGCCCUGCAGGGGACGGAAAUGCUGUGAUGCCCUUAGAUGUUCUGGGCCGCACGCGCGCUACACUGACGGAGCCAGCGAGUGCUUCCUUGGCCGAAAGGCCCGGGUAAUCUUGUGAAACUCCGUCGUGCUGGGGAUAGAGCAUUGCAAUUAUUGCUCUUCAACGAGGAAUCCCUAGUAAGCGCAAGUCAUCAGCUUGCGUUGAUUACGUCCCUGCCCUUUGUACACACCGCCCGUCGCUACUACCGAUCGAAUGGCUCAGUGAGGCGUCCGGACUGGCCCAGGGAGGUGGGCAACUACCACCCAGGGCCGGAAAGCUCUCCAAACUCGGUCAUUUAGAGGAAGUAAAAGUCGUAACAAGGUCUCCGUUGGUGAACCAGCGGAGGGAUCAUUA